CAGCUUGGAGAAAUGGGGGGUGUUACGACCCGCCCCAGGAAAAGAAGGGGGAGGGGGUAACCCAGGUUUUAUCAAUAAUUCCUUUGGGGUGGAUUAAAGCGAAACGACACUAAAUAAUCGGUGUCUGAAAACAUAUAUUGACAAGAUUUAUUUUAACAAUUCCGCAUCAGUAGGUAUGUUAACAUUUUGGGUGCUGUCAUAACCUUUCUGGGGAGGAGAAAAAUGCAUAGGGGAGAGAAAGACAGGGUAAGAGUAAGGGAGA